rnacentral:rRNA from 1 species
UACGGAGGGGGCUAGCGUUGUUCGGAAUUACUGGGCGUAAAGCGCGCGUAGGCGGAUCUGCAAGUCGGGGGUGAAAUCCCGAGGCUCAACCUCGGAACUGCCUUCGAUACUGCGGGUCUCGAGUCCGGGAGAGGUGAGUGGAAUUCCUAGUGUAGAGGUGAAAUUCGUAGAUAUUAGGAAGAACACCAGUGGCGAAGGUGGCUCACUGGCCCGGUACUGACGCUGAGGCGCGAAAGCGUGGGGAGCAAACAGG